GGUAAUAUAGCUCAGUCGUAGAGUGCAUGCUCUGUUAGUGUGCACAACGUCCUGGGUUCAAUCCCCAGUACCUCCA
rnacentral:tRNA from 1 species